AUAACACUUAUUAUAAUAUUUCAUCAUAUUUAUGGGUUCAUACCUACUGUAAAUUGUAUAUGAACCAAAGCCACACUGAAAUACAUCUAGGAGGAUAUUUUAUCAGAAAUUACAUAUAAGUGGAAUUCCUCGUUUGGCUCAUACAUCUUAUAUGCAUACCAUUGCUUAUUAUUCAUAUUCUUGUUCGAAAUCAACAGCUUUUAAAUAAAAUAUAUAAGACGUUAGGUCACGCUAAAAGUAUAUGCUCAAAACAUGAGCGUUACUAGCUUCGCAUAUACAUUUCACCAAACCACUUGAUCGUAUCUUUUAUAUGCAUGCGUGUCAUAUUGAAGGAAUAAUUUCAGCUGUUUUUAUAAGCAGAGUGAGUGCUAGAGAAUAUAAAAGUUCAUUGGGUUCCUGUUGAAAUGUUUUCAAUUACGUUUUACAGCAUUAAUAACCAUCAUACUUAAGUAGUGAGUACUCUUCAAGCUGUUCCUAAACUUACAUAAAGUGAUAGUUAUAUUUUUUUUUCAAUAAAUUUCAGUGACUUUGCAACUUGUACGGAACCCAUGGCGAAACCAAUUAAAGGCCAUCUAUGUUAAACCUUCAUGGGGAAACUGCUAGAAGGACGAUUAAAUCAACGGGAGACUGAAAAUGUAGAAGUAAAAUUCUCGUCUUCUGGGCGAGACGAUUCCUCAAGGUCCGACAGGUCUAGUUUACUGUUUUGGGAGAAAAAUCUGUGUCCGUACUGUUUUUACGGAACCUGUGAACAUGAAUCAUAUUCAAUAAAAUGUUUUAAACUUGA